CACUUUUGUCCGGAAAGAAAUCCUUUGGGUUAAUACCUCGGGGGGAUGACGGUACCGGAAGAAUAAGCACCGGCUAACUACGUGCCAGCAGCCGCGGUAAUACGUAGGGUGCAAGCGUUAAUCGGAAUUACUGGGCGUAAAGCGUGCGCAGGCGGUUUUGUAAGACGGAUGUGAAAUCCCCGGGCUUAACCUGGGAACUGCAUUCGUGACUGCAAGGCUAGAGUAUGGCAGAGGGGGGUAGAAUUCCA
rnacentral:rRNA from 1 species